rnacentral:lncRNA from 1 species
GAAUCAGACGGAUUUGUUUGCAUCUCGGUUGCCAAGUUCUUUUUUUCUUUUCCCAGCGAGAACCUGAAUCUGAACAUUGCCUGGGAAGCCCAGAAUCAAAUCCCCGGGUCAACACUUGCUCGACACCCACUGUCCAGGUUAAGAAGGUACGCAGCUUGAAAAAGAGGAUCCAGGGAGGGGAGAAAUCCCGUGCACAGUGGAGCAUGUGAUGCUGUGAGUAUUGCAAAUAUGCUCCAUCCGGCCAAAAUCAUGUCUGCAAUCAGGGCGAUGAGAAGCCCUUGCACGAAAAGAAGCGCCCUUGCCGAUAAGAGGAUGUUUCUUAUCAGGAGAAUUUUCUGCGAGGUCUUCACAUCUCGAGUCCACCCGCCACUCCGGGGGGAGUUGGGAGGAGAAAAGGCAAUAAAAGUGAUGAAGAGGCUGGAGGGCUCAGGAGCCAAGACGAAACGACAGCUUGGCCGUCGCACAGAUUUAGGGGAGACGCGGCCCCCAUCUGGCAGAUGGUCCCCGAUGGAAGGAGAAGCUGGGAGGGUCUGGGAGGACCGAGGAGGAGUAACGAUGGGAGGUUACGCAAGGGAAGUGAUAGGCUGAUAAUCAGGCCGAUUUCUGGGCAGAGAGCCUGUUUCGGAGAAUGAUGGCAUUCCAGGCGCCCUGGACUUGCUCUGCGGCUCCAUACAGCGAACAUUUUAGGAGAUCAAAGUCUUAGAAGCUGCUCUGUUGGGAGUGGCUGCCUCCCACCCCCUGCUCAGAUGUUUUAUCUCCUGUCUCUUUCACAUGUUUGGAAACUCCGAGUGCGUUUGUGGCCCAGGAUUUCAGGGUGGUGGAUGGGACUCUGGCCCCUGAACACAGGCUCCAGGAGAGCUGAGCAAAGAGGAGCAGAUGGAUGAGCUAGCUGGAGAGCAUUCGCAUCCGCCCAGGGAGCGAGGGAUGGGAGUGGGACCAGGCGAAGGGGGUGUUCUGGGAAUACGGGGCAAACAGCUGACACGCUUCUGGCCUCUGGUCUGAGCUGAGCGAACAUUUACCUGGUUUCCUCCUGGGCCAGCUUCUUUUAGUUUUGUUUUGUUUUUAGGGCCCAACCUGCAGCAUAUGGAAGUUCCCAGAUGAAGGGUUGAAUUGGAGCUGCAGCUGCUGGCCUAUACCACAGCCACUGCAAUGCCAGAUCUGAGCCUCAUCUGUGACCUACACCACAGCUCACAGCAACACCAGAUCCUUAACCCGCUGAACGAGGCCAGGGAUGGAACUCGCAUCCUCAUGGGUACCAGUUGGGUCUGUUAUCGCUGAGCCACCACGGGAGCUCCCACGGGCCAGUUUCUUCACCUUCUUUGGUUCCUCUGCCCACUGAAUCGUGCUGCCUCGAUCUUUCUGGCCGACAAGUCAGUGACAUGUCUAUUGUCUCCUUCAUCUGCUCACUGCUGCCUUCAGGGCAGCAGAAGCAUUCGCAUCCGCAUCUCUGGUCCCCUGAUGCGCUGGUGAGGAAACUGAGGCUCCCAAAGGGCGAGUGACUUGAUCAGAGGCAGCGGGUGCGCCCAGACCUCACACAUAGGAUGCAGGCACCACGGUGCGGGACCUCACGCCCAUGACAUGUUCGGCACUUUGCUGAACUCUAGAAGCUUCCUUCUGGAAGGAGAUGGGGGUGGCUGGGGGCUGGCAGGGGUUGGAGAACUGAGGCCAGGAAGCAAAUCUCUCCUUAGACUUGGUGCUUGGGGGCUCAAGCAGUAAAGGGAAGAGCAUCUAAUUGCAACUGUGUAUUGAGAGAGGCUUCUCAGAAGUGGGAUGCUGGAACUGGGUCUUCAAAACAAACAAGUGUUGGAGUUCCUGCUGUGGUGCUGUGGGUUAACAAUCCGACUGCAGCAUCUCAGGUCACCGCAGAGGGGCAGGUUCCAUCCCUGGCCCUGGCACAGCAGGUUAAAGCAUCCAGCACUGCUGCAGCUGCAACCUACGGCACCGCUGUGACUCAGAUUCAAUUCCUCAUGUGGCAACUUCCUUGUGCCGAAGGUGUGGCCAUUAAAAAACAAACAAACAAGACAAUCGAGUGUUGCAAAGGGAGGAAAAAUAUUCCAGAAGAACCCACAAGAGAGCCGUGGACUGAGAACUACAGACCUCACAGGGAGUUCCUAGGGGGCCUGGGGAGCCCUGAUUGGUGGGUCGUGAGGAUCUUUGUGCUUGGGUUUGAUCCCGAGUGUUGUGGCCGCCAUGUGGGCGGUCGACGCCCAGUGACAGCCUAUUGGCCAAAUCCUGCCAGCACCUGUUUUCCUGCAACCUACAAGCUAAGGGUGGUUUUCACUUUUCUAAAUAGUUGGGGGGAUAGAAGAAGGAUACGAUUUCAUGAAUCUGAAAAUACAAUGAAGUUCCAAUGUCAGUAUCCAUAAAGAAAGUUUUCCUGGGACGAGACAAGCCCAUCCUUCAUCCUGAAGAAGGGCGAGCAGCCGGAGCAGAGUGAACCAUCUCAGCAGGGCAGUGGGGCCUGUGGACUCGAACAGCUGGCUGGCUGGUCCCUUACAGGACAGCUGUGGGGCUUGGGGAUGACAGGCGCUCUGGAGAACAAGGCAGAAGUCUGGCCUUGGUGGCGUUUCCAACUGAGGGGGGCUGCCUCGUUCCAGAAGUGACCUCUUUCUGAGAGCAGAGCCCACCUGGCCCGUGAUGUGCUCCUGCUUCUAGAAUUCCACCUGUUCCUUUUCCGAAGAGCGAGUCAGCACUCAUGAGGGAGGGGUCAGCCUCUGAGCUGGGCUGUCCUCUGAGGUUCCCUCAAGACCCCCUGGGGCCCUCAGGCACAUUCCCUGUGGCUGGUGCUCACAAUGAGGUCAGUGCUCCAGGCAGAAGGUCCUGGACCUGCCCCUCUGGGAGCCUGUCCCCUCUCCCUGGUGGAACGAGAGGCCCUUCAACCAGAGUCAGGUUUCAUUGUGUUACUUUUCCUUCCGGAACAGAUUGUUCAUUCAAAGGCAGGUGUAAAGCCUUGAUCGGCCCCCACCGCCCCGCCCCCGUGCUCUUGGGCCCAAAGACGAAGCCUCUGCCUGGCGAAUGAGCAGGAAAGACACUUGUUCCAUCAGUGGCCCAGUACCGAUGUGAGCUUAGUCAGAGACUUGCCUGCAGCAGACGCAGCCUUGACAGUGGCUAAGAGCAGGACUUGAGCCAGGCUGCUGGGGUACAAACGUACUCUGCCACUCAGCAGCUAUGGGACACCGGGCACCUUAACCUCUCUGUGCCCUGUGGCCCCAGCUUCCGUGAAAUGUGAUAAUAACAACACCAGCCCUGUGGAGCUCUUAAAAGAAUAAAAGGCUUAGCAUUUGUU